CUUGAUUUUUGGACUAAAUAAUAUGGGUUUAAGGAUUUUGCUUAUAGGCCCAAAUCAAUUAAAAGGCCCAACAUGCAUAGUAUCUCUAGAAGCAUUAUCUAGAAAAAUCUAUAUAAAUAUCUACUAGAAAAAUCUAUAUAAAUAUCUAAGUAAGAUAUGUAGUUUUAUAAAGAAUAUCUAGAGAAUUCUAGNUGUUAGGAUCUUCCUCAAGCUGCUCAAAGUGAUUUCCGGGCUCAGUUAACCAUUAAACAUCGAAUUCAACACCAAAAAUCGAGAUGACCGACCGCCGGCGCCAACUUCUUCCUAUGGUUGCUAUUGCUCUUUUGCUUGUUGAUUCUACCACACACUUAGGAUGGAUACCACACAGGUAAGAGUCACAAAGCCUCAAGCAAUUGGUAGGGAAGAUUAAUCACGAAGAAGAAGGCAGCAGUUCUCUUUCUCUCUCGGGUUCUUUCAAACGGGACAAAGGAGAAGGAGUUAACUACCAAUAUAUAUAUAUAUAUAUAUUAGUUCAAUGGCCAACUUAAGGUAAGUCACAAUAUGGUAAGUAGGCUCGACUAGGGUUAAGUCCCAAUAGAAAAACAACAAGCCACAAAGAUUAUUAGCCAUCCAAUAGGUAAAGCAACGCUAAGUCGGUUCAUCCAUUAUUCGGUGUUGAUUUAUGGUUCAGUCAUUCAUGUCGACUGAUAAAAUUGGUUUUCAUCAUCGUCCGGGAGGUCGUUUGACAACAUGAUGUCUAACAGUAACUUUGGGUGUGUCUACUUCUGCUUUUUCCCCAGAUCGGUAACCCUUUGUUUUGCUUGUGUUUUUGGCUUUUUGCAAUGCGUAUGAUAGAGGCCCAACUAACAGAGUGACACAUGCUAAACAUAUAUAUUAUCAUAUGACCAGAUUGAUAGCUCAAUAUUCACCAAGUGAUCAUCAUCCAAAUAUUAGUACAAUAUUUUUUUAUACAUUACCUACCUAGAGGGAAGCACCUUGCAGUUCAUCUCUCAAUUCCUAGACAGCAACAUAUAUAUAAUGAAAGUUCUCUCUGCGUAUGGCAGUGACACACAGCAUAGCAAUAGAUAACCCUCCUACAAUCAAGCAAUGUAAUGCAUUAACCUGGUACCUCUAUUUUCAAGAGACAAAAUAUACCUGUGAAGUUUCCAGUACAAAUCCUAUCCCAAUUUAAUUCCGUAUUUAAACCCAGCCAAACACAACCGAAUCAAGUUCGGUCGGGUUCGGUUGGUCGGUUUAGUUCAUCGACUACAGAAAAAAUAAAAAAAAGGAGAGGGAGAGAAAGACAGUAAAAUGGUAAACACCAUUUGCACAUGCACCUAGAGUGUUGAGUAGUAAACUUGAUUUUUGGACCAAAUAAUAUGGGCUUAAGGAUUUUGCUUAUAGGCCCAAAUCAAUUAAAAUGCCCAACAUGUAUAGCAUUUCUAGAAGCAUUAUCUAGAAAAAUCUAUAUAAAUAUCUACUAGAAAAAUCUAUAUAAAUAUCUAAGUAAAAUAUAUGAUUUUAUAAAGAAUAUCUAGAGAAUUCUAGGAAAAUAUCUUGAUAAGUGGUCUAGGUGUCUCUAGAAAAUGUGUGGACUAGAAUCUUCUUAUAAACACUAUAUAAAGGGGUAGUGCCCUCCAUUUUGUAACAAGCCAAAAAGUGUGUAAAGUCUUGAAUUUGAGAAAUACAAGUUUCCU
rnacentral:lncRNA from 1 species